rnacentral:rRNA from 1 species
GACGAACGCUGGCGGCGUGCCUAAUACAUGCAAGUAGAACGCACAGUUUAUACCGUAGCUUGCUCCACCAUAGACUGUGAGUUGCGAACGGGUGAGUAACGCGUAGGUAACCUGCCUGGUAGCGGGGGAUAACUAUUGGAAACGAUAGCUAAUACCGCAUAAUAUUAAUUAUUGCAUGAUAAUUAAUUGAAAGGUGCAAUUGCACCACUACCAGAUGGAUAUGCGUUGUAUUAGCUAGUAGGUGAGGUAACGGCUCACCUAGGCGACGAUACAUAGCCGACCUGAGAGGGUAGUCGGCCACACUGGGACUGAGACACGGCCCAGACGCCUACGGGAGGCAGCAGUAGGGAAUCAUCGGCAAUGGACGAAAGUCUGACCGAGCAACGCCGCGUGAGUGAAGAAGGUUUUCGGAUCGUAAAGCUCUGUUGUAAGAGAAGAACGGGUGUGAGAGUGGAAAGUUCACACUGUGACGGUAUCUUACCAGAAAGGGACGGCUAACUACGUG